AUUGUACUCCCUCCGUCCGGAAAUACUUGUCAUCAAACUAUAUAAAAGAAGAUGUAUGUCAUCAAACUUGAUAAAAGAUACAUCCUUUUUUAUUUAUUUUGAUGACAAGUAUUUUUGGAUGGAGAGAGUACUCU
rfam:Triticum aestivum genome assembly, contig: Triticum_aestivum_CS42_TGACv1_scaffold_329905_4BS